AACGAACGCUGGCGGCAGGCCUAACACAUGCAAGUCGAGCGAGGACUUCGGUUCUAGCGGCGGACGGGUGAGUAACGCGUGGGAAUGUGCCCUUCUCUACGGAAUAGCCCUGGGAAACUGGGAGUAAUACCGUAUACGCCCUAUUGGGGAAAGAUUUAUCGGAGAAGGAUCAGCCCGCGUUGGAUUAGGUAGUUGGUGGGGUAAUGGCCUACCAAGCCGACGAUCCAUAGCUGGUUUGAGAGGAUGAUCAGCCACACUGGGACUGAGACACGGCCCAGACUCCUACGGGAGGCAGCAGUGGGGAAUCUUAGACAAUGGGGGCAACCCUGAUCUAGCCAUGCCGCGUGAGUGAUGAAGGCCUUAGGUUUGUAAAGCUCUUUCAGCUGGGAAGAUAAUGACGGUACCAGCAGAAGAAGCCCCGGCUAACUCCGUG
rnacentral:rRNA from 1 species